rnacentral:lncRNA from 1 species
UGAUGUUAUGUUUGUAUGCAUGAAUUGAUGAUAAUUGUAUGAUUGUUGGUGAAAUUACAUGUUCAAAUAUGUAAAAAUGAUAAGUUGUGAAAAUGGUGCUCAAUUGGUGAAUUUUGCUAAGUUAUUGUUAAUUUGAGAUUUGAUUCUUGCUCAAAUGAUGUUAUGGUUGUUAAUUGAUGUUGUAGUUGAUGAAUCAUUGCUUGGGUAUGCAUAUUCAUGAAUUGAUUAUGAGAAUUUGAAUUGUUGUUGGUGUUUUAUGUAAAUGGGUUGAUUUGGUGAAUUGGCUAAAAGUGAGAUUGAUUUUCAUGUUCAAUGUGUUUUNN